rnacentral:rRNA from 1 species
UACGGAGGGUGCAAGCGUUAUCCGGAUUUACUGGGUUUAAAGGGUGCGUAGGUGGGUCUGUAAGUCAGUGGUGAAAUCUCCGGGCUUAACCCGGAAAUUGCCAUUGAUACUAUAGGUCUUGAAUCAUCUGGAGGUGAGCGGAAUAUGUCAUGUAGCGGUGAAAUGCUUAGAUAUGACAUAGAACACCAAUUGCGAAGGCAGCUUACUACGGAUGUAUUGACACUGAGGCACGAAAGCGUGGGGAUCAAACAGG